ensembl:lncRNA
UGGGUCGGGCUGCGUGCCGCGCGGACGCGGCUGGGUUAGCGAUCCGAGGGUAGCAUCGGGAGGCUUUGUCUUGGGAGGUAUUCCUUUUGCUAAACUUAGAUAUUGGUUCUUAAAUUAACGUACUCGUCCCUACUGCUAAACAAACCAACCUGUAUCACCAGCACAGCAGAUUUGCUGGGACAGUCGGCCUGCAACGAGGGGAGCAGUGGUUCCCAGAUGUGUUGCAGCCCGGGUUGUAUAUGGAGGGGCACAGGAAGGGGUUGGAGCUGGGACAGCGAGGAAAUGAGCAGAGGAGCUCAGCGUGUUCUGCUGCCCGCUUGGCUCUCUGUAACGCAGCACAGCCGGGACUGCAUUUCUUCCUCUGGGCCACGCGAGACACGAGAUGACCUCGCUCCGCAGCUCUGCACGCAUGGAUUGAUGGAAGCUUUCAACUCCCCGAUGCCUCCUUUGGAACGUCUUAAAGCAUCAUGUGUCAGCCACACGGGUAUGGUGUUGAAGUGGAAAAAAGCCUGCAGACCCUGGGAAAACCAUUGGGGGAGAGAGGAGAAGUGCCCUUUGAAGCAUUUGAUGCCCUGCUGGCAUCCAACACCAGCAUGGUCCUUUUCUCUCCUUUUCAGCCUUUUGCCAUCUCUCAGUGGUUGGUCAGCACGAUAGCACCGUCUCACUAUGCUUAGGGAGAAGCCUGUCCCGUACAUCCCGUAUCCCCGCAAGACGCCUACUCCAACACUCCUGAGACAUCCUGUCAGUCAGAUCCAAAUGUACCCUGAAACAGGAGUGGAGUUGCGGAUGAUGACAUUGGCGCUCUUUACCCAAAUGACUGGGUGAAUAUUGCUUUUGUGCCUCAGGGGAAACCCAGAGGUGCAGGUGGAGUUGAAUGGGAUCCAGCUUCCCAGCUGAGCUCCAUGCCAGAAGCCCCAGCAACUCCUAUGGGCCCUGAGAGACGGAAAGAGGCACUGGGAAAAGGAAAAUAUCCGCAGAGGCUGUCCCAUAUCCUAAAGAAAAUCAUGAAGGAGAAGGCAGCACAUGUGCUGUCAGAGCCCCGGGAAGCCCAACACAACAGGAUCUAUGAUCCUUUUCUGAAGAAUCCAGGUGUGGAUGGUGAAGGACGUGCAAAAGCCGAGCAAAUUAAAGCUACACAGAAGUACUACCUGGAACUUGCUGCAGCUGUCCCGGUUUCCCUAUUGCUAGGGAUGAUUCUGUGCUGUCUACUUAUCUGGCGAUGGAGGCAGAGAAACCAGCGCCUCGCUGCAGCUGAUGAAGCCCGGGAUGAUAGCAGCAGCUCCAGUUCAGAGUCAGAUGAACAGCCUGCCCACCUCGAGGGGCCCAAAAGACAGACAUGGUGGCAACCACCUGUGUGGGGACGACCUGCCCACCUGCUGCAGGACACCACCAGAGCAGCCCCUGCCAGGCUGGACAGCAGCCAGGCUCAGCUGCCCCCACCUCGGCCCCCGCGGCCCACCGGCCUGGGCUCCACAUCCCGGGGGAUGCGCAACAGGCCCAGCAGCCCCCAGACCCACCGGGCAUCAGCACAGCCCCCCCGUCCCCUCCACCAUCCUUCAGGGGACGGAAGGAACCUGCCCGGGGUAGAGGCUCGCAGUCAUUGGCCAGCACUGAAACAACGGCUCCCCAGCAGAUGAGCGACAGGCCCAGCAGCCCCCGGCCCCCCCGGGCAUCAACACCACCCCCCCGUCCCCCUCCACCAUCCUUCAGGGGACGGAAGGAACCUGCCCGGGGUGGAGGCUUGCGGUCAUCGGCCGGCACUGAAACAACGGCUCCCCGGCAGAUGAGCAACAGGCCCAGCAGCCCCCGGCCACCAACGCCGCCCCCCCGACCUCUGCCUCCUCCUCCUCCACCAUCCUUCAGGGGACGGGAGCGGUCCCCUCAGGGUGUCGGCUCGGGGGCAUCGUCCAGCACCCAGACAACCGCUGCCUCAGGGAAGCCUGAGAGGCCCAGCAGCCCUCAGCCCCUCCCAGCACCACCUCUGCCUUCCCCCUCCCCUCCACCAUCCAUCAGGGGAGGGAAGCAAUCCCCGCAGAGUGCAGACUUGGGGAAAAUGUCCAACAGACGGACAACCACUGCCUGGGGGAAGCGCGACCGCUCCAGCAGCCCCCCAGCUCCCCAGGCACCGUCACCACCCUCCCAUUCCCCUCCACGAUCCUUCAGGGAACGGGAGUGGCGCCCCCAACCCCCUCCACUGCCCUCUCCAUCCCCUCCACCAUCCUUCAAGGGACAGCAGCGGCCCCACCAGCAUGACAGACCUGGCCGCCCCCAGGCUCCCCAAAUGCCCUCCCCCACCCCUCCACCAUCCAGCAGGAGGUGGGAGCAGCCCCCCCAGGGUGUUGGCUCACAGGAACUGUCCAAGAGACCGACCACUGCUGCCUGGGGAAAGCGUGACCGGCCCAGCAGCCCACAGCCCCCCCGGGCACCAUCCUCCUACUCCCCUCCACCAUCCUUCAGGAGGUGGGAGUGGCCCCCCCAGAGUGUCAGCACAGGGGCAUCUUCAGACACCUGGAAAACCACUGCCAGGGGAAAACAGACCAGGCCCAGCAGCCCCCAGUACCGCCCAGCACCACCUCUGUCCUCUCGCUCCUCUCCACCAUCCAGCAGGAGGUGGGAGCAGCCCCCCCAGGGUGUUGGCUCGCAGGAACUGUCCAAGAGACCGACCACUGCUGCCUGGGGAAAGCGUGACCGGCCCAGCAGCCCACAGCCCCCCCGGGCACCAUCCUCCUACUCCCCUCCACCAUCCUUCAGGAGGUGGGAGUGGCCCCCCCAGAGUGUCAGCACAGGGGCAUCGUCAGACACCUGGAAAACCACUGCCAGGGGAAAACAGACCAGGCCCAGCAGCCCCCAGUACCGCCCAGCACCACCUCUGUCCUCUCGCUCCUCUCCACCAUCCAGCAGGAGGUGGGAGCACUCCCAGCGUGCGGGUUUGGGGACACCAUCUGACAUCCACAGAAGCACUGCUGGCAUCAACCGGAGUUUUCCAGGCUCCGCUGUACCAAUAAAUAGAAAGUAGUGCGUUUGGGGCACCACCUGAUAUCCACAGAACCACUGCUGGCAUCAACCCGAGUUUUCCAGGCUCCACUCUACCAAUAAAUAGAAAAUAGUAG